CUAGCUCCCCCUCUACACCGUAAGCAUCAUCCGCUACACAUACGUACACAGCACGGAUCGACCAAUUCAUUUUGUGGAUAGAUGGAUGGAUCAGGCUUCAGGGUGCGCCAAAUCCCUGGAGACGCCGGCCUGGUACGGCUCCUCGCAGAACUCGCCGCCGAGGUCGUCGCACGCCUCGCCGGGGAACACCCUGCAGUUCAGUCCAUUCGCCACACACAAUUAGUCGCCACCCAGUGGAAUUUAAAAGAUCAAUUAAUGCAAGAAUGAACGGUGUGCUUGCUCACGUUUUGGGCUCGUCGUAGGACACGUAGUCCCUCUCCACCUCCUCCUGCCUCCUGGUCGCGGCGUCCGCCGCCGCAGAGGCGGCGAGCCUAGCCUCCGGGUACAUCUGCCCGCUGCAGGCGUCGCCGCCGAACAGCUCGCAGGCUUCCAUGGGGAACACCCUGCAACACCACAUGAUCCGUGUCAUAUACUCAUCUAGCAACCAAAUCAAGCAAGAGCUCAAAACAUCGAGGGACCUCGGGGGCUUGCACACUUACGAGGAGCUCGAGCUGUAGUCGACCUCGGCAGGUUCGGCCGCGGAGACGGCGACUGCGGCGGCACGGAAGCUCCUCCGGAGGACAAUGCGAACCGCCG
rnacentral:lncRNA from 1 species